rnacentral:tRNA from 1 species
GUUGGUGUAGAUCAGUGGUAGAGUGCAUGCUUUGAAUGUAUUACGCCCUGGGUUCAAUCUCCAGCUUCUCCC